rnacentral:rRNA from 1 species
UGCGUAGGCGGUUUAAUAAGUCAGUGGUGAAAAACUGCAGCUUAACUGUAGAAUUGCCAUUGAUACUGUUAGUCUUGAGUACGGUCAAGGUAGGCGGAAUGUGUAAUGUAGCGGUGAAAUGCUUAGAUAUUACACAGAACACCGAUUGAGAAGGCAGCUUACUGGGCCAUUACUGACGCUGAGGCACGAAAGCGUGGGUAGCGAACAGGAUUAGAUACCCUGGUAGUC